rnacentral:tRNA from 1 species
GGAGAGAUGGCCGAGUGGUCGAAGGCAACGGUCUUGAAAACCGUCAGGGGUGCAAGCUCCUCCAGGGUUCGAAUCCCUGUCUCUCCGCCA